AUGCACGCUGGCGGCGUGCCUAAUACAUGCAAGUCGAGCGAACGGACGAGAAGCUUGCUUUUCUGAUGUUAGCGGCGGACGGGUGAGUAACACGUGGAUAACCUACCUAUAAGACUGGGAUAACUUCGGGAAACCGGAGCUAAUACCGGAUAAUAUUUUGAACCGCAUGGUUCAAAAGUGAAAGACGGUCUUGCUGUCACUUAUAGAUGGAUCCGCGCUGCAUUAGCUAGUUGGUAAGGUAACGGCUUACCAAGGCAACGAUGCAUAGCCGACCUGAGAGGGUGAUCGGCCACACUGGAACUGAGACACGGUCCAGACUCCUACGGGAGGCAGCAGUAGGGAAUCUUCCGCAAUGGGCGAAAGCCUGACGGAGCAACGCCGCGUGAGUGAUGAAGGUCUUCGGAUCGUAAAACUCUGUUAUUAGGGAAGAACAUAUGUGUAAGUAACUGUGCACAUCUUGACGGUACCUAAUCAGAAAGCCACGGCUAACUACGU
rnacentral:rRNA from 1 species